UAGGGAUUGCAGUGGUAGCUUUUGGUCCCGCCAAUGUGGGAAGCCAAAACUUUUAACAGAAAGCCCGACCACUU
rnacentral:misc_RNA from 1 species